AAUCAUACAAAAAUAAAAAAUCAGGUGAUACCAUGGGCACACUGAGCAAACAGAAUUAAUGACACUUGAAGGACUCCAUCUGAAGAUACUCUCUCUACACAGCAGAGGAUAACACUCUGAAACCUGUACCUGAUGAACCAGUUUCAAGCUGUAGGUCGUCCUUCCCAGGACUUUUAUUUCUGCUGCUGGAGACUCAUCACUCUUGUGGAUGGGAGGAGCACCAAGAACUCACCUGCAACAGCUUGAGGAUGUUUCUCCAUCCAGCCUUGCAGGAAAAGAGCCAUAUUCUUCACAUCAUAGCCUUCAAACCUACAGUUAAUCUCCUCCUUUCUCAGCUUUCUACACAGAUUUUUGUUGACUCGGUUUUCUGAGCAGAACUGCUUAUUGUCAUGCAAAUACCCAGGUUAGCAUGGUGGGUCAGAAUCAGACCUGAAGAGGAAAGAUAUAUACCUUUCCUGAUGUGACAUGAUGGUAAAUGGGCACCUGCAGUAAAUUCCCAGUCUUUGGACAGCUGACUGGAGUGCAGCAGCGGUCCAUCAUGGACAUCAGUAGGGACAGGAAUAAAGGGAGUAGUGACAAGGUCUGGGCACUGCUGCCUCCCUGGGGAGCAGUUUUGGGCUCAGUGUGCACAAACACUGCCACUUCUGCCUAACGGCACAGAGCUGGGAGACACAAGGGUUAGGCUGGGUCUCCUGGUCUAAGGAGACCAAAAAAGUCAGGUGAAAGGAAGACGUUACUCCUGCCUCAAUGAAAGUUUUGUUAUGCAGCUUGUGGCAUCCAGGAGCAUGAGAUGCACAAAGACAUGGUUACAUUUUCUCUGUGCAAUUUUUGUAUAAAACUUAAAGAAAUUCAGCAUAGAUUUUUCAACUGUACUUUUUAAAAGAAUCACACAGCAAAGACACUGGAAGCAGCUGGAUUUUCCCCUCUUUCUGUGUUUUCAUUUAUGCUGAAGAAGAACAGGCUAUGGAGAUCAGCUUUGACAAUUCAGGACCUGUAUUUCAGGCUCCUUGAAUGUCAACACAAACAAAUCAUCUGAGUCA